GCUGACACGUCCCGGCCAAUCUCCAGCAGACCCUCUCUCCCAGACCCUCUUACUUCCUGGACAGCAUCCAUGUUUCAGCAUCUAUGCAUCCAUGUUUCAACAUGGAUGCUGUCCAGGAAGUAGGAGGGUCUGGGAGGGAGGGUCUGCUGGAGAUUGGCCGGGACGUGUCAG